UCAUUUGCACAAAUACGCCACCUCUAACUCCUUCCACUCCCAAAUCCUCUCUAGCACUCUCCGAAACCCUAAUCCUAUUCUACCUCUUUUCGUCUCAUUCUCACAGGAAUCCAUGGCAAUCCUUGCCAUGGAUGGCCUAUACCUAUUCUCCCUCACCAUCAGCUUAAGCCAUGCGAAGUUUGGAGGCCUGAAUCCCAUGGUCAACUUUAGAUAUGUCUCAUGUCUGCAAGAUCCAUGGCCUCUCCGACCAUUUUUCGGCAUGUUCAAGGCAGUAUGAGUC
rnacentral:lncRNA from 1 species